AGCUUCAGUAGCGUAUAUUAAAGUUGUUGCAGUUAAAAAGCUCGUAGUCGCAUUUCUGGCGAGAGGAUCCGGUCCGACCUUUUGGUGGGUUCUUGGGUCUCUUUCGCCAUCCUUGAGUGGUCCGUUCUGGCAUUAGGUUGUCGGAGCGUCAGCCGCUCAUCGUUUACUGUGAGAAAAUUAGAGUGUUCAAAGCAGGCUUAUGCCGUUGAAUAUAUUAGCAUGGAAUAAUAAGAUAGGACCUCGGUUCUAUUUUGUUUGUUUGCGCACCAAGGUAAUGAUGAACAGGGACAGUUGGGGGUAUUUGUAUUUCGUUGUCAGAGGUGAAAUUCUUAGAUUUACGAAAGACAAACUACUGCGAAAGCAUUUACCAAGGAUGUUUUCA
rnacentral:rRNA from 1 species